GGCGGCAGGCCUAACACAUGCAAGUCGAGCGGUAGAGAGAAGCUUGCUUCUCUUGAGAGCGGCGGACGGGUGAGUAAUGCCUAGGAAUCUGCCUGGUAGUGGGGGAUAACGUUCGGAAACGGACGCUAAUACCGCAUACGCCCUACGGGAGAAAGCAGGGGACCUUCGGGCCUUGCGCUAUCAGAUGAGCCUAGGUCGGAUUAGCUAGUUGGUGAGGUAAUGGCUCACCAAGGCGACGAUCCGUAACUGGUCUGAGAGGAUGAUCAGUCACACUGGAACUGAGACACGGUCCAGGCUCCUACGGGAGGCAGCAGUGGGGAAUAUUGGACAAUGGGCGAAAGCCUGAUCCAGCCAUGCCGCGUGUGUGAAGAAGGUCUUCGGAUUGUAAAGCACUUUAAGUUGGGAGGAAGGGUUGUAGAUUAAUACUCUGCAAUUUUGACGUUACCGACAGAAUAAGCACCGGCUAACUCUGUGCCAGCAGCCGCGGUAAUACAGAGGGUGCAAGCGUUAAUCGGAAUUACUGGGCGUAAAGCGCGCGUAGGUGGUUUGUUAAGUUGGAUGUGAAAUCCCCGGGCUCAACCUGGGAACUGCAUUCAAAACUGACUGACUAGAGUAUGGUAGAGGGUGGUGGAAUUUCCUGUGUAGCGGUGAAAUGCGUAGAUAUAGGAAGGAACACCAGUGGCGAAGGCGACCACCUGGACUAAUACUGACACUGAGGUGCGAAAGCGUGGGGAGCAAAC
rnacentral:rRNA from 1 species